rnacentral:rRNA from 1 species
GAUGAACGCUAGCGGCAGGCUUAAUACAUGCAAGUCAAGGGGGUAGCAAUACAACCGGCGCACGGGUGAGUAACGCGUACACAACAUACCAUAUACUGGGGUAUAGCUUUGGGAAACUGAAGGUAAUCCCCCAUAACAUUGCGAGAGGGCAUCUGAUUGCAAUUAAAGUUUCGGCGGUAUAUGAUUGGUGUGCGUUUGAUUAGCUAGUUGGUAGGGUAACGGCCUACCAAGGCGACGAUCAAUAGCUGGCGUGAGAGCGCGACCAGCCACACUGGAACUGAGACACGGUCCAGACUCCUACGGGAGGCAGCAGUAGGGAAUAUUGGACAAUGGAGGAAACUCUGAUCCAGCCAUGCCGCGUGAUAGAUGAAGGCCCUCUGGGUUGUAAAUAUCUUUAUCUGGGAAGAAACAAUCUUAUUCUUAAGAUCUUGACGGUACCAGAGGAAUAAGCACCGGCUAACUCCGUGCCAGCAGCCGCGGUAAU